CGCGGCCUAUCAGCUUGUUGGUGAGGUAAUGGCUCACCAAGGCGUCGACGGGUAGCCGGCCUGAGAGGGUGACCGGCCACACUGGGACUGAGACACGGCCCAGACUCCUACGGGAGGCAGCAGUGGGGAAUAUUGCACAAUGGGCGGAAGCCUGAUGCAGCAACGCCGCGUGAGGGACGACGGCCUUCGGGUUGUAAACCUCUUUUAGCAAGGAAGAAGCGAAAGUGACGGUACUUGCAGAAAAAGCGCCGGCUAACUACGUGCCAGCAGCCGCGGUAAUACGUAGGGCGCAAGCGUUAUCCGGAAUUAUUGGGCGUAAAGAGCUCGUAGGCGGUUUGUCGCGUCUGCUGUGAAAUCUGGGGGCUCAACCCCCAGCCUGCAGUGGGUACGGGCAGACUAGAGUGCGGUAGGGGAGAUUGGAAUUCCUGGUGUAGCGGUGGAAUGCGCAGAUAUCAGGAGGAACACCGAUGGCGAAGGCAGAUCUCUGGGCCGUAACUGACGCUGAGGAGCGAAAGGGUGGGGGGCAAACAGGCUUAGAUACCCUGGUAGUCCACCCCGUAAACGUUGGGAACUAGUUGUGGGGUCCAUUCCACGGAUUCCGUGACGCAGCUAACGCAUUAAGUUCCCCGCCUGGGGAGUACGG
rnacentral:rRNA from 1 species